rnacentral:misc_RNA from 1 species
GCCAAUUGUCUAGAAAAACUUUGCUUUAAAAGUUCCUUUCCUUGUAGUUGGUUGAUAGUCAUCCCAGAUGAGUUGUGCUCAUUUUUGUAAAAUGAUAUAAUGCAAUACAUUUUUAGUGUAAGUGGAUAGGUUUUCUCCUUUCGUUUUUCAUUUUAGGGUAAAGUUUCUUUUCCUCAUCGGCAUGUGCGACCUCCUCUACCCCUCAAGGGUAAAGGGGUCUUAUCUUCCUUCUCUGCCCAGGGGUGGUCUUCUCUCUCCCUUUUUUAGGUGGAUUGUAGUUAAUAUUUUGGGGUUUCGCAAAUCUGGGCUUCUAAUAGAUAGGGAUUCUCAUAAAUCUGAGCAGAUGGAAUUGAUGGCUACAUGUGUGUGUCUUUUGGCUAACGGCCAUGGAAGCUUUGAUGAUCUUGAGUUUUUCAUGGCUCUGUAUAAAGAGUUUUUUCUAUGCCCUGGGUUAUGGUUCAAGCAAUGGUUCAGGUGAAAGGGGAAACCGAGGGUAAAAAUGUUGGCUGUCCAUUGCGGGAUUGUAAUUGCCCUCUCUGGCUACAAGAGACUGAGAUGCCAUCAGGGAUCUCCUCCUUCUCUUUUUGUUUCUUCUCCCAUGGGUCUUUUUCAAUGUGCCAUGGUUUUGAGCCUCAAAAGAUUGUGUGGUGACGAACUUUGUUGCUAUCUCUGCCGUAAAUGGGACUAUCAAUGUUGAUCGUCUGACGAAGGUGCAGAGAUUUCGGGUGGGAGGUGACCCUCCAUGCGGCGCUAGAGAUUAUUCUGCUUCGGGCUUGCGAGUUCGAUUGCGACCCACCUAAGCCAGCUUUCUAUUGGGUUUUAAUUUUAUGGGCUAGGGUGACUUGUUUAGCUAGGCCUUUUUAAAUCAUAUCUUAUUAUCAAUAUUUGGCCUCGAGGCCUAUUAUUUUCUGCCCUAUUAGAGCCUCUCGCUG